UUCGUUUAAAUUAUUGUGAGUCUACACUUUUAAAAUUGAACCCACACAAAAUGGUGGGAUAUACAUUGAUUUCAUCCAA
rfam:Medicago truncatula strain A17 unplaced genomic scaffold scaffold0492, whole genome shotgun sequence.